UACGGAGGGGGCGAGCGUUGUCCGAAGUUACUGGGCGUAAAGCGCGCGUAGGCGGGUUGGCAAGUCCGCUGUGAAAGCCCGAGGCUCAACCUCGGCGGGUCGGUGGAUACUGCCAGUCUUGAAGGUGCUAGGGGGAGAUGGAAUUACCGGUGUAGCGGUGAAAUGCGUAGAUAUCGGUAGGAACACCAGUGGCGAAGGCGGUCUCCUGGGGCAUUCUUGACGCUGAGGCGCGAAAGCUGGGGGAGCGAACGGG
rnacentral:rRNA from 1 species